rnacentral:rRNA from 1 species
GACAGAGGGUGCGAACGUUGCUCGGAAUUACUGGGCGUAAAGCGCGUGUAGGCGGGUGAUCAAGUCAGAUGUGAAAGCCCUGGGCUCAACCCAGGAAUUGCAUUUGAAACUGGUUGCCUUGAGUGCUGGAGAGGGAAGCGGAAUUCCUGGUGUAGAGGUGAAAUUCGUAGAUAUCGGGAGGAACACCGGUGGCGAAGGCGGCGGCCUGGGUUGACACUGACGCUGAGGCGCGAAAGCGUGGGGAGCAAACAGG